CAGUACAUGGUGUUGGUGUCUUAUGAUGAUUACUCAUAGGGCAGAUUCUGAGAAGGGGAAAUACCCUUCAUGUGAUCUGAAUUUGAGUUCAUUAGCCUGAAGACACCACAAACAGA
rnacentral:snoRNA from 1 species